GAUGAACGCUGGCGGCGUGCUUAAUACAUGCAAGUCGAACGGAAAGGCCCUGCGCUUGCGGGGUGCUCGAGUGGCGAACGGGUGAGUAACACGUGAGUAACCUGCCCUUGUCUUUGGGAUAACUCUAGGAAACUCGGGCUAAUACCGGAUAGGAGCUCCUGCUGCAUGGUGGGGGUUGGAAAGUUUCGGCGGUUGUGGAUGGACUCGCGGCUUAUCAGCUUGUUGGUGGGGUAGGGGCUUACCAAGGCUUUGACGGGUAGCCGGCCUGAGAGCGUGGCCGGCCACAAGAGGACUGAGGUACGCACCAGUCGCCUACGGGAGGCAGCAGUGGAGAGUAUUGCACAAUGAGCCGAAGCCAGAGACGACGACGCCGCGUGCGUGAUGCCGGCCUUUGAGGUGUAAACCGCUGUCGACUGAGACGAAGCGGGAGUGACGGUAAUGGGUAAAGAAGCAACGGCUAACUACGUG
rnacentral:rRNA from 1 species